rnacentral:rRNA from 1 species
CGAGCUGGGUUUAGAACGUCGUGAGACAGUUCGGUCCCUAUCUGCCGUGGGCGUUGGAAAAUUGAAGGGAGCUGCUCCUAGUACGAGAGGACCGGAGUGGACGAACCUCUGGUGUUCGGGUUGUCAUGCCAAUGGCAUUGCCCGGUAGCUAAGUUCGGAAUCGAUAACCGCUGAAAGCAUCUAAGCGGGAAGCGAGCCCUGAGAUGAGUUUUCCCUGACACUUUAAGUGUCCUAAAGGGUUGUUCAAGACUAGAACGUUGAUAGGCAGGGUGUGUAAGCGCUGUGAGGCGUUGAGCUAACCUGUACUAAUUGCCCGUGAGGCUUAACCAUACAACACCCAAGGGGUUU